UACGAAGGGGGCUAGCGUUGCUCGGAAUCACUGGGCGUAAAGGGUGCGUAGGCGGGUCUUUAAGUCAGGGGUGAAAUCCUGGAGCUCAACUCCAGAACUGCCUUUGAUACUGAGGAUCUUGAGUCCGGGAGAGGUGAGUGGAACUGCGAGUGUAGAGGUGAAAUGCGUUGAUAUCAGAAGGAACGCCGGUGGCGAAAGCGACGGACUGGACCUUUUCUGACGCUGAGGCGCGACAGCGUGGGGAGCAAACAGG
rnacentral:rRNA from 1 species